rnacentral:tRNA from 1 species
UAUUUAAAUAGUUUAAGAAAAAUAUUAGUUUGUGGAACUGAUGUUAUGAUUAUUUCAUUUUAGAUA